rnacentral:rRNA from 1 species
UAGGGAAUCUUCCACAAUGGGCGCAAGCCUGAUGGAGCAACACCGCGUGAGUGAAGAAGGUUUUCGGAUCGUAAAGCUCUGUUGUAAGAGAAGAACGUGUGUGAGAGUGGAAAGUUCACACAGUGACGGUAACUUACCAGAAAGGGACGGCUAACUACGUCNCA